rnacentral:lncRNA from 1 species
UUGACUAUUUCUGCUUUAAUGUAUUAUGUACAAAAAAAUUAAUUACUAAAAGUAGUUUCUUCCGUUUAAGAUUUCAUAUCAGUAUGUGUUAUCGGUUCUCUGUAGAUUUGUGAAUACUUUUUUAAACCUUCUUAUUUUUACUUUAACAGUGACAGAUUUGCAAAAGUGGGGCGUCCCUUUUGUUAUCUGAGGUUUAUAAAUACGUAGUCAAGAUCGGUCGGAAUGAGAACGUUAAGUUACUCACUCUGCACGAUGAAAACUCACGCAACAACUCCUUGAGGAGUCCAUGGGAUGCCCGUUGCUGGUGCUAAAUUACUGCCACAAUAAAAAAAAAGAAAAAAAAAAAAAAAAACUCAUUUACCAUUUGCAUCCGAAGUUCUUACAUAUACCCAGUUGGCUUACUUUUCAAAACCUUGAAGUUCCUUUUUCAUUAAAUAUUUAUUUUCUCUGAUCUUGAAAGAGAGAUACCAGAGGGGUAGUCAAACUCAUAAAUCGAAAAUAAACUGACAACGCCAUGGCUAGAAAUGAAAAAGACAAACAGACAAACAAUACUACACAUAACACAACAUAUAAAACGAAAAAAUAAGCAACAC